GUGGGGAAUCUUGCGCAAUGGGCGAAAGCCUGACGCAGCCAUGCCGCGUGAAUGAUGAAGGUCUUAGGAUUGUAAAAUUCUUUCACCGGGGACGAUAAUGACGGUACCCGGAGAAGAAGCUCCGGCUAACUUCGUGCCAGCAGCCGCGGUAAUACGAAGGGGGCUAGCGUUGCUCGGAAUUGCUGGGCGUAAAGGGCGCGUAGGCGGACAGCUUAGUCAGAGGUGAAAGCCCAGGGCUCAACCUUGGAAUUGCCUUUGAUACUGGCUGUCUUGAGUUUGGGAGAGGUGAGUGGAACUCCGAGUGUAGAGGUGAAAUUCGUAGAUAUUCGGAAGAACACCAGUGGCGAAGGCGACUCACUGGCCCAAUACUGACGCUGAGGCGCGAAAGCGUGGGGAGCAAACAGGAUUAGAAACCCUUGUAGUCC
rnacentral:rRNA from 1 species